AGGUUUUGGUUAUGAGACUAUCUUGAACAUAGUUUAAAUCUGAUGAAAAUUUGGGAAGUGUUUUCCCUGCCGAGCAACGUGCUGCACAAGGUUUUAGAGUUGAGGAAUAUUGCGUGGCUACUGCCUGUAGUAUGCUCCUCAGCCAAAAUUGAAGAAUAUGUUGAAUUUGUAGAUGACUUGUGUGUUUCUGAUACAAUCACAGUCGUCAACAUGCUUAGAGAAUUCUCCCUGGUGUAUCUCAAUAUGAUGCCUCUGCACACUAGCACGCAAAAUGGAUAUUUAUUUAGCUCAUUAUCAAAUUUUUGUGUUCUUCGAGGUGUUUGUUUACGAACUAGUUAAUUGUUGGAUACUUCUGUGCAAAAACAUUUGAUCUGCAGUUGUGUCGUUUCACGUAAGUCUUUAGUAUCUCCACUAUCGAAGUCUGAAAUCUCAUUUAUCUCUACGAGACUCUCUUGUCUGAAUAAUCAGUGCUCCACUUGACGACGUUGCAUUGCAAUGUGACACUCAAAAACAUUAAAAAACCGAGAGCUUUGCAUGAAAACUUAAAAUUGGAGCACUUUUGUCUCACAAGUUACAAAAUAGGGAGACAUAGAAUGGU
rnacentral:lncRNA from 1 species